GCUAGGUGACGAUCUCAAUGGAAGAAAAUCCAAAUGGUGAGAAAGCAGCGUGUAGUUUUGAGGCAUUACUAGUUAGAGGCCUAAUGCAAGAAGAAUUAGGCAGUGAGAGAUAAUGUUUAUUUUAAUGCUCUGCUUGCAAUUUUUGAGGUACUCAUGCUGCAGUAAUCGCUUCAAGAUUGUUUGUGUUUAUAGAGUAAUUACAAAAGGGGAAAAAAGUUGUUAUCAUUCAGCCAAAGUAUGUCCUGUACAAAAACUUCU
rnacentral:misc_RNA from 1 species